UUCUUGCAGCCUUGCCAUCUCAAAUCGAGUAGUUUUUAAUCGAGUUUGGCAACUCGGUGUUUGUUUUGCUUUUCCUGCAGUUUUUGUAAAUAAACAAAGCAAUCUGCAAUCCGCGAGUUUAUUUUUUUUCCCCCGCUCGGUGACAAAAACGCUGCAGGUUUGCCGCUCCGCCGGCGGUCCCAAGGGACAGGGGGAAUAUUCCCGAGUUCGCGGUACGAGGAGAUGUUUCCACCGAUGGCUGGGCCGGCGAAUUCGGUUUGACGGAGCAGAAGCAAAUGCUUCAGGUUUUGUGGAGGAGCCCGUAGAACCAGCAAAAGACGGUCGACAUCUCGGUGGAGGAAGGACCGAGUGGAGAUGAUGGGGCACAUGCAGGCCACGUACGACACGAACACGUUUGAUUCUAGAGCGAAUCGGGCGUUGGUGAUCAACACGCCGGAAGAAGUUGAUAGAUUUUUGGGACCGUGAGGUGAAUACUUGGAUGAGGAACUUGUAUCGAGGCCGAACGGGACCGAGCGGGUUGAGAUCGCCGAGACACCAAGGAUAUUUCCGCCAUCCGGUUGUUCCCCUGGCCCAUCUUCUGCUGUACUGUAGCAUGGACGCCCGGAUCAAGAUCGGAGAGUUUUACUACGAGUGGCGUUGCUUGCGAACCUGCUAGGGCCACCAGCAGGCCAGGCGGGGAUAAGUUCGUGUCGGGUACAUUUGCUACCUCAAGCUGUGGGCAACGAAACGGCGACGUCGUGUCACACGUUAUCUCACGGAAGAUACCGUUUUUCAGCCCGGAUCACAGCAAGCAACACCUGCUAGUGGUGGGAACGUCCGACGUCCGCUAAGAUCAUCUGCUGGGACACCCGCAGUGGCGACUUCGUCCAGGAGUACGAACGCCAUCUGGGCACGAUAAACUUCGGCGAUUAAAACCAGCGACAGGAGAAACCUUGUACCGCGAUGGCGACGGCAGAGUCUACGUCUGUUACACGGCCUUUACGAGCAGCAGAGUGUCACACUAACAGUUUCGCCAUGCGCUGAUUCUCGAGUUUCUCCUGCUCCUCGCGAAUACGAAUGUUCUCGCGGGUGCGUCCAAUGGAGGUCCGCUGUUGAAUCUGGACCACCGCGGGGACAGCACCAACAGUAAUAGUUUGCCGGCACCGGUGCCUAUGCUGGCGGAGUACUACAAGGAAGAGCAACUCCAAGCUGAACAUUCCCGUCUGGCAGGGAUGGAAUAAUCGCAAAAAAAUCAAUUUCGCUU